rnacentral:lncRNA from 1 species
CGGCAGCCUCGGCGGUCUGGGCGGGGCGGGAAGCCCGCUUUCAACCCCGCGUACCCUCUGACCCCGGAAGUGCUUGCUGCGCAGGACCCCUUGAAAAAAAAUGAGGACCCGUCUUUUUUAGGUCACAAGAUUGCGCCAACCCUUACAUGGUCCUUAAAAAAAAAACCUUCUGACACUGCAGUAGUGAAAAUGAAGCGCACGAUGGGCGGAAGCUGUGAGUCCGGCAAAGUUUUAAAAUGAUGACGUAUUUUAUUAACUCUAACGGCACUGGCGGGUGACUGAAAAUACUAGUGCUGUGUAUGCGGGAUAGACAUUAUUUUCCUGCCCUACAUGAGGGGCUCGUGCGCGGAACGACAUGGGCAGCCCCGGCGGAAACUGCAGGCACAAGCCGGGACGCCGCGGGUUUAAAACAUGCGCGUGAGGUGACCAGAGCGCGUGCGCGAGGGUGUGGGGGGAUGGGAGGGGCAGCAGCCCUCUUCCGGGGGGGAGGGGCGGCGAGGCGAGGCCUGCGGAGCGGGUGCGCGCGGGCGGGCACGUGGGGCCCUUUCGUCCCCGGCGUCCGGGCGCCCUGCAUGGAUCCCCCACCCCAGCUCCUGCUCCCCGGCGGCGGCCGGUGGGCAGAAAGACCGAAACCCACUCACGGCCGCCUGCCGAAUCGCGGCUCUGCUGUUUGUGGGGCGUGCUAGAAACGUGGUCCUAAAAAGAAUGGCGUCCAUUUACAUAAUGCUUUGUUUGCGUUUCGCAAGUUUCUUUCGGUUAAAGCCACAGAAACCCCACCUCCUGCCCUUGUGUCGUUUCCACCGCGGCACCCUUUUCCGACAUUAGAAACAAUAGUGUACGCCUGUGGAGGCCUCGUUUGUUCAGGGGCUGCCGGCCAGGGCUUCAGGACGUUUCUGCGGCUUUCCCCGCGCGGCCUGGGCUCCCGCGGCUGCUUUUCGGGCCCAUGGGCGCAGCCACUGCGCCAGGCUCAAGGGGGGCGGCCCCGUCAGGGCCCGCCAUCUUGGAAGGCCUUUUUUGCCGGUUCUUCCCGCUGAGGAAGUGUCGCUCAAGACGCUGGCCUAUGAGUUGUGAUUUCUGCCUUUUCCCCUUCCUCCUUGGGCUAAGCCAGACCAGAAAGGGCCCCGUGCGCAACGUGCUUCACAAUCUCUCAGGGAAAGCGGCUAACGUGGCGCUACUCCGCCUCCCCUGUUCCUUACCCUUGGGGCGGCCGCCAUGUUUCCUGAACACAAAAUGGCGACACGUGGUUAGCAUUCGUCGCCAACGAGAAAUUGGGGUCGGCCCGAAAGCUCUAGAAUGCACCCCUCUUCCUCCCCGGGGCCUUCCACCUCCGCGAGUUUUAUGACUUAAAAAAGCCCACAGGCUGGUCUGAAGGUCGGAGGCCUAAUUUUAACGCGUUUUCCUCCCUUUAAUUUGAAACGGGAACGCGAAUGACUGUAAAAUGUGGGCACAAUAUUUAAUCUCUCGCCUUUUUAAAGCUUAAUAGUGGAUAAUAGGGGGGCAGUAUCAAGGGAUAAUUUGGGUCCCCACAGUACCAAAGCAUUUAGAAACCUCUGUUUAAUUUAAGGAAUGAGAUAAGUUACUGCUUUUCUAGACUUCCUAGCAUGGGCUGUUGUGCUGGAGAGAACGAGAGCUACGAAGAGACUACAGUGCCUCUGACUUUUUCAUAGGACAGUUGGCCGAGGAAGACAAACAUAAAGAUGAAGUGCUUAAUUCAAGGUCACACAAUGUCGGGGAUGGACCUCCAGAUUUCCUUACUGGUGAGACGUGGUCUUGUAACACAGUGGUUAAGAAUGUGACUUUGGAGCCAGCCUGCUAGGGGCUGAAUUCUGACUCAGCCAUUUACUAACUGUGUGACCUUAGGGAGGAGGACCUGGUUGAUAGAAGAAUUUAUCUCGUAGUCUUAACAUCCACUGUAAUUCCAAACUUUGAGGACGAUAGAGAUCAGUGGGCUUUGACUGCCCAGCAUGCAGUCUCCAUUCUUAGGUGGGUUCCCAAGCCUGUAAAAUGUAAGCCUUAUGCUGCUGAGGGCCAUCUUGCCACCCUGAGGGAAACGCUGCCUGAGAAUGAAACAAGCAUAAGUAAAAGCUGAGCUGUGAGAUGGAGCAAGAUGAAGGCCACAUGACAUCUUUGGAGCACCUGGAUCUAACUGUGCCUUAAGCUAGUCUAACCCUGAACAUUUCAUCAUUUCAUUGACAUGAGCCCAGGUUUUCUUUUUUUUUGGAUGGAGUCUUGCUCUGUCGCCCAGGCUGGAGUGCAGUAGCUCAAUCUCGGCUCACUGCAAGCUCCACCUCCCGGGUUCACGCCAUUCUCCUGCCUUAGCCUCCCAAGUAGCUGGGACAACAGGCGCCCACCACCACUCCCAGCUAAUUUUUUGUAUUUUUAGUAGAGACGGGGUUUUACCAUGUUAGCCGGGAUGGUCUUGAUCUCCUGACCUCAUGAUCCGCCCGCCUCGGCCUCCCAAAGUGCUGGGAUUACAGGUGUGAGCCACUGCACCCAGCCCUCAGGUUUUCCCUUUUUUUACCCCUCCUUUUGAAAAUUUGAUGUGGAAUUUUGCCACCUGCAGCCAGAAGAGUUUUAACUAAUCAGUGCCAUAAAUUUUAUAUAGUUCUCCUUGCAAAAUGUGGAUCAGCCUUUCUCAGCAAAUCCUUUGUCAUAAAGUGCUGAAUUGUAAGUUUGUCAUGAGAAUCACAUGAGAUCAUGCAUGUGAAGAACCUGGCAUUAUCCUCCUCAUAGAAAAAAACCAGUAAAUAUUAACUACAGGAAGCAAGGAAGGAGUGGGGUGAGGGGAAGAAGAAGGGGUACUGAUUUAAAAGAACCCUGGAGUCCUAAGGAUAAUCUAGGAACCCUCAGACCCAAUCCGAUACCCCUAUUCUAAAUGCUCCUAGUGCCCUGUACCUUCCCCUCAUAAGCCUUCAUUAUCAUUGUAAUGAUAUGUUUAUGUAAUAUUUUGAUUAAUGUCUCUCCUUCACUGACCUAGCAGUUCUAGCAGGGCAGUGAUUUUGCUGUGUUGCAUCCCCAGCACCUAGUCUGGUAUGUGGCAUUCAGCAUAUGUUUAUUGAAUGAAUGGCCAUGUGGUUAUUCAGAUCCUCCUUGAUUAUUGGGGUUAGGAUUGUGGCAGAAGUGGCAAAAUCAGGGAGAGUAGUCCCUGUCCCCUCUGUAUCUUAUACACUGCCCACACUCCCAACACACAUACACAUACAGAGAAUUUUGUCUCAAUUAGAUAAUUAACUUCUGCUUGGUUGUAAACCAAACCACUGGUUCUUAAACUUUCAUUGGAUCAUUUUAUUGAAGAAUUAAAUAGUGUGGUUCUGGCCUAAUGUCUGGAAAGCCUUGCAGAGGAGUGGAUUAGGUCUUUGUGAUAAACAGGCAGCCUUCCCUGCUCCUGUGUCUUUAUAAAAUCUAUUUAACUGGAGUAGUCCACCCUCCCUCAGGCUCUUACAGGAAUAUGUUGGAGGCUGUAGGAAGGUGGGAAACCGAGAGGGAAAGGACUGGGCCGCUGGAGACUUCACUCAUUCCCUAGCAAGAAACAAAAGCAGUAAAAGGUGGCCCGAGGACAACCUGAAGCUCACUCCUUCAGCACUUUUGGCUGGAGGUCACUUGUUGGAGCCCCACUCAGAGCUCAGCACACCACCCCACCAGCAGCCUCCUCCUCCCAGCUGAGGCUGCAUUUCAUCCCUUCCCCCAGCCUGCUUUCCCUGAGAUAGGGGAGUGUUUCCCAGGGCCCAUGUGACUUCCACUGGCAAGUGACGAUUACCAAUGGUUUACUAGUCAGUGAAACUACCAAAGGCUUUUGUGCUGUAGUAAUCCUUUUCCUGUUUAAAACUCUGGGGAUUUUCUAAUGUUGCCAAUAGUUUUUCAAGUCAGCAAUUACUGUGUGGAUUAUGUAAUGGCUCGGUAUUAAAAAUAGAAAAGACUGGAGUUUGCAUCUAUUUUAACCAAAUCUUGAAAACAGAGCAAAGGGAGGGGAAGGGUGGAGAGGGAGAGACCAGAGGAGGAGGGAGAAAAAGAGAUCAUGUGACUGGAUAAGACAGCUCACAAUUCACUGUGCCUUUCUCCCACCAUUUGUGGCCCAAGGACCUGUACUCCCUCCUCAGCCUCCUCUAGGGAGGGGUCCUUGAUGAGAAUUCUGAGGACACAAGACCCCUUGUGGAUAUUUCUUAGCUCAGCCUUGGUGUGCUUACCUGCUUCUGACAAGCAAAGUGGCCAAGUAGGGGAGGGAGUUGAAUCUGAUGUCCUCCACUAAGUCCAG